AGUGAACGCUGGCGGUAGGCCUAACACAUGCAAGUCGAACGGCAGCACAGAGGAGCUUGCUCCUUGGGUGGCGAGUGGCGGACGGGUGAGGAAUACAUCGGAAUCUACUCUGUCGUGGGGGAUAACGUAGGGAAACUUACGCUAAUACCGCAUACGACCUACGGGUGAAAGCAGGGGACCUCCGGGCCUUGCGCGAUUGAAUGAGCCGAUGUCGGAUUAGCUAGUUGGCGGGGUAAAGGCCCACCAAGGCGACGAUCCGUAGCUGGUCUGAGAGGAUGAUCAGCCACACUGGAACUGAGACACGGUCCAGACUCCUGCGGGAGGCAGCAGUGGGGAAUAUUGGACAAUGGGCGCAAGCCUGGUCCAGCCAUACCGCGUGGGUGAAGAAGGCCUUCGGGUUGUAAAGCCCUUUUGUUGGGAAAGAAAUCCAUCUGGUUAAUACCCGGGUGGGAUGACGGUACCCAAAGAAUAAGCACCGGCUAACUUCGUGCCAGCCGCCGCAGUAA
rnacentral:rRNA from 1 species